rnacentral:rRNA from 1 species
CCUACGGGAGGCAGCAGUGGGGAAUAUUGCUCAAUGGGGGAAACCCUGAUGCAGCGACGCCGCGUGGGGGAUGAAGGAUUUCGGUAUGUAAACUCCUAUUGUCAGAGAAGAUAAUGACGGUAUCUAACGAAUAAGCACCGGCUAACUACGUGCCAGCAGCCGCGGUAAUACGUAGGGUGCAAGCGUUACCCGGAUUCACUGGGCGUAAAGAGCGCGUAGGCGGGAUAGCAAGUCAGACGUGAAAUCCCAGGGCUUAACCCUAGAAGUGCAUUUGAAACUGUUUGUCUAGAGUGUGGGAGAGGUAGGCGGAAUUCUUGGUGUAGCGGUAAAAUCCGUAGAGAUCAAGAGGAAUACUCAUGGCGAAGGCGACCUGCUGGAACGUAACUGACGCUGAUGCGCGAAAGCGUGGGGAGCAAACAGGAUUAGAUACCCGAGUAGUC